GUUAGUGUGUGUAAGUUCUAAGGGCCUGAAACCAACAUUGUAAUGGUUCUAUUUCUUUCUAAUUUGUAUUAUUUUUUGGUUUUGGCUUUAUAACUUCCAGGUGAUAAAUGAUAGGUUUGGUAUUGUUGAGGGUGUUACGAUAACAGUCCAUUCUAUGGCUGCUACCGAAAAGACUCUUGAUAGUCAAUCUACGAUGGAUUGGAGUGGAAAACGGCUUCCUUCAGCAUUAUUUUUUUCAGCACCAAAAGUUUCCAAGCUUUAACCAGUUGAGGAAAGCCCCAUCGACUCUACCCCAUUGGGAAAGCUGGUUACAACGGCACCAUAAUUGAAUCAGUUAGGAAGCGUAUCCAAGCAACCCAUUACGAAAGCACAUUAUUUGCAAUGCAUUUUGGUGAUUAUGUGAGGUUGAGAUAUUUUUAAAUGGUGGUGAUGGUGGUGGCAUGCGGGCUUUGCAGCAGUUCAUUGCUAGCCCAUGGAUAAAUGAGCUGAAGAAGAUGAUACGCUCAAAAAUAUGUAUAGAUAAAAGUUGUUUGUGACAGGAGAGUCGAUAGUGGGAUGAAACUUGAUGGAUGUUAGCUCAAAAGAAAAAAUGAAAGUCAAGAGUGCACCAAAGAUCUUAAAUACCUUCUCGAGCUUUUAUGGUUUGUAUUUAAUAGCUUUGGAUUUUGAUGCAUUAGGAAUGCAGCUACUAUAUUCAUGGAUCAA
rnacentral:lncRNA from 1 species